rnacentral:rRNA from 1 species
UGGGGAAUAUUGCACAAUGGGCGCAAGCCUGAUGCAGCAACGCCGCGUGAACGAUGAAGGUCUUCGGAUCGUAAAGUUCUGUUGCAGGGGAAGAUAAUGACGGUACCCUGUGAGGAAGCCCCGGCUAACUACGUGCCAGCAGCCGCGGUAAUACGUAGGGGGCCAGCGUUAUCCGGAUUUACUGGGCGUAAAGGGUGCGUAGGUGGUCUUUCAAGUCGGUGGUUAAAGGCUACGGCUCAACCGUAGUUAGCCUCCGAAACUGGAAGACUUGAGUGCAGGAGAAGAAAGGGGAAUUCCCAAUGUAGCGGUGGAAUGCGUAGAUAUUGGGAGGAACACCAGUAGGGGAGGAGGCUUUCUGGACUGCAACUGACACUGAGGCACGAAAGCGUGGGUAGCAAACAGG